rnacentral:rRNA from 1 species
UACGUAGGGGGCAAGCGUUGUCCGGAAUCAUUGGGCGUAAAGCGCGCGUAGGCGGCCCGGUAAGUCCGCUGUAAAGGUCCAGGGCUCAACCCUGGAAAGCCGGUGGAUACUGUCGGGCUAGAGUCCGGAAGAGGCGAGUGGAAUUCCUGGUGUAGCGGUGAAAUGCGCAGAUAUCGGGAAGAACACCCGUGGCGAAGGCGGCACUCUGGGACGGUACUGACGCUGAGACGCGAAAGCGUGGGGAGCGAACAGG